GACGAACCGUGCGAACGUUGUUCGGAUUCACUGGGCUUAAAGGGCGCGUAGGCGGGUUACCAAGUCAGGGGUGAAAUCUUUCGGCUCAACCGGAAAAGUGCCCCUGAUACUGGUAGUCUCGAGGGAGGUAGGGGCAUGUGGAACUUCCGGUGGAGCGGUGAAAUGCGUAGAUAUCGCUUGGAACGCCGAAGGUGAAAACAGGCUGCUGGGGUUGCGCCGACGCUGAGACACGAAAGCCAGGGGAGCAAACGGG
rnacentral:rRNA from 1 species